rnacentral:rRNA from 1 species
UACAGAGGGUGCAAGCGUUAAUCGGAAUUACUGGGCGUAAAGCGUGCGUAGGCGGACAUUUUAAGUCGAUUGUGAAAUCCCCGGGCUUAACCUGGGAAUUGCAGUCGAUACUGAAUAACUAGAGUAUGGUAGAGGAAAGUGGAAUUCCCGGUGUAGCGGUGAAAAUGCGUAGAUAUCGGGAGGAACACCAGUGGCGAAGGCGCUUUCUGGACCAAUACUGACGCUGAGGUACGAAAGCGUGGGGAGCAAACAGGG